UUAAGUUACUAAGGGCGCACGGUGGAUGCCUUGGCACUAGAAGCCAAUGAAGGACGUUACUAACGACGAUAUGCUUUGGGGAGCUGUAAGUAAGCUUUGAUCCAGAGAUUUCCGAAUGGGGAAACCCAGCAUGAGUUAUGUCAUGUUAUCGAUAUGUGAAUACAUAGCAUAUCAGAAGGCACACCCGGAGAACUGAAACAUCUUAGUACCCGGAGGAAGAGAAAGAAAAUUCGAUUCCCUUAGUAGCGGCGAGCGAAACGGGAAGAGCCCAAACCAACAAGCUUGCUUGUUGGGGUUGUAGGACACUCUAUACGGAGUUACAAAGGACGACAUUAGACGAAUCAUCUGGAAAGAUGAAUCAAAGAAGGUAAUAAUCCUGUAGUCGAAAAUGUUGUCUCUCUUGAGUGGAUCCUGAGUACGACGGAGCACGUGAAAUUCCGUCGGAAUCUGGGAGGACCAUCUCCUAAGGCUAAAUACUCUCUAGUGACCGAUAGUGAACCAGUACCGUGAGGGAAAGGUGAAAAGCACCCCGGAAGGGGAGUGAAAUAGAACCUGAAACCGUGUGCUUACAAGUAGUCAGAGCCCGUUAAUGGGUGAUGGCGUGCCUUUUGUAGAAUGAACCGGCGAGUUACGAUUUGAUGCAAGGUUAAGCAGUAAAUGUGGAGCCGUAGCGAAAGCGAGUCUGAAUAGGGCGUUUAGUAUUUGGUCGUAGACCCGAAACCAGGUGAUCUACCCUUGGUCAGGUUGAAGUUCAGGUAACACUGAAUGGAGGACCGAACCGACUUACGUUGAAAAGUGAGCGGAUGAACUGAGGGUAGCGGAGAAAUUCCAAUCGAACCUGGAGAUAGCUGGUUCUCUCCGAAAUAGCUUUAGGGCUAGCCUCAAGUGAUGAUUAUUGGAGGUAGAGCACUGUUUGGACGAGGGGCCCCUCUCGGGUUACCGAAUUCAGACAAACUCCGAAUGCCAAUUAAUUUAACUUGGGAGUCAGAACAUGGGUGAUAAGGUCCGUGUUCGAAAGGGAAACAGCCCAGACCACCAGCUAAGGUCCCAAAAUAUAUGUUAAGUGGAAAAGGAUGUGGCGUUGCCCAGACAACUAGGAUGUUGGCUUAGAAGCAGCCAUCAUUUAAAGAGUGCGUAAUAGCUCACUAGUCGAGUGACACUGCGCCGAAAAUGUACCGGGGCUAAACAUAUUACCGAAGCUGUGGAUUGUCCUUUGGACAAUGGUAGGAGAGCGUUCUAAGGGCGUUGAAGCAUGAUCGUAAGGACAUGUGGAGCGCUUAGAAGUGAGAAUGCCGGUGUGAGUAGCGAAAGACGGGUGAGAAUCCCGUCCACCGAUUGACUAAGGUUUCCAGAGGAAGGCUCGUCCGCUCUGGGUUAGUCGGGUCCUAAGCUGAGGCCGACAGGCGUAGGCGAUGGAUAACAGGUUGAUAUUCCUGUACCACCUAUAAUCGUUUUAAUCGAUGGGGGGACGCAGUAGGAUAGGCGAAGCGUGCGAUUGGAUUGCACGUCUAAGCAGUAAGGCUGAGUAUUAGGCAAAUCCGGUACUCGUUAAGGCUGAGCUGUGAUGGGGAGAAGACAUUGUGUCUUCGAGUCGUUGAUUUCACACUGCCGAGAAAAGCCUCUAGAUAGAAAAUAGGUGCCCGUACCGCAAACCGACACAGGUAGUCAAGAUGAGAAUUCUAAGGUGAGCGAGCGAACUCUCGUUAAGGAACUCGGCAAAAUGACCCCGUAACUUCGGGAGAAGGGGUGCUCUUUAGGGUUAACGCCCAGAAGAGCCGCAGUGAAUAGGCCCAAGCGACUGUUUAUCAAAAACACAGGUCUCUGCUAAACCGUAAGGUGAUGUAUAGGGGCUGACGCCUGCCCGGUGCUGGAAGGUUAAGAGGAGUGGUUAGCUUCUGCGAAGCUACGAAUCGAAGCCCCAGUAAACGGCGGCCGUAACUAUAACGGUCCUAAGGUAGCGAAAUUCCUUGUCGGGUAAGUUCCGACCCGCACGAAAGGCGUAACGAUUUGGGCACUGUCUCAACGAGAGACUCGGUGAAAUCAUAGUACCUGUGAAGAUGCAGGUUACCCGCGACAGGACGGAAAGACCCCGUGGAGCUUUACUGUAGCCUGAUAUUGAAAUUCGGCACAGCUUGUACAGGAUAGGUAGGAGCCUUUGAAACGUGAGCGCUAGCUUACGUGGAGGCGCUGGUGGGAUACUACCCUAGCUGUGUUGGCUUUCUAACCCGCACCACUUAUCGUGGUGGGAGACAGUGUCAGGCGGGCAGUUUGACUGGGGCGGUCGCCUCCUAAAAGGUAACGGAGGCGCUCAAAGGUUCCCUCAGAAUGGUUGGAAAUCAUUCAUAGAGUGUAAAGGCAUAAGGGAGCUUGACUGCGAGACCUACAAGUCGAGCAGGGUCGAAAGACGGACUUAGUGAUCCGGUGGUUCCGCAUGGAAGGGCCAUCGCUCAACGGAUAAAAGCUACCCCGGGGAUAACAGGCUUAUCUCCCCCAAGAGUUCACAUCGACGGGGAGGUUUGGCACCUCGAUGUCGGCUCAUCGCAUCCUGGGGCUGUAGUCGGUCCCAAGGGUUGGGCUGUUCGCCCAUUAAAGCGGUACGCGAGCUGGGUUCAGAACGUCGUGAGACAGUUCGGUCCCUAUCCGUCGUGGGCGUAGGAAAUUUGAGAGGAGCUGUCCUUAGUACGAGAGGACCGGGAUGGACAUACCUCUGGUGUACCAGUUGUCGUGCCAACGGCAUAGCUGGGUAGCUAUGUGUGGACGGGAUAAGUGCUGAAAGCAUCUAAGCAUGAAGCCCCCCUCAAGAUGAGAUUUCCCAACUUCGGUUAUAAGAUCCCUCAAAGAUGAUGAGGUUAAUAGGUUCGAGGUGGAAGCAUGGUGACAUGUGGAGCUGACGAAUACUAAUCGAUCGAAGACUUAAUCAA
rnacentral:rRNA from 1 species